rnacentral:misc_RNA from 1 species
AAAGAAGCAGAGAUGGGAACUGUGCUCCAUAGUUUCUGCUAUAAAAGAAUAACUAAAAAACCGAAGCUUCAACAUCAAGUCCAGAAAAAUCACACAUAUAAAAUACCCUUAUCAUACAUCACUUGGUAAUUGACUCCCUGAUACCAAGGCAUUGCAAUUCCAUUCAAAUAUACAUAUAUUCACCACCACGAACAGCAUUUGCAGCUCCUUUUCUUUCUUCUUCGGCCUCUUUCUCUCGCUCCUUCCAGCUCUCGUAUUUGUGGUCGUCGGUGGGCAAUUCAUGUCGACAAAUCGGACAAGAGUUAUGCUCAUCCAGCCAGGGCUUCAAACAAGGUGGGUGGAAUGUGUGUUUGCAAGGCAAUUCCUGCAUCUUGUCAUCAACAGCCAAG